rnacentral:lncRNA from 1 species
CAGGAGUCCAACAAAAGCCUUUACAUAAAUCACAGCUGAUACAAUGGCUCUUGGCUGAAGGGGAGAGGGGCUUAGAGUCUCAGCGCUGCUGAAAGAAGGUUUGUGUCUGGGGGAGGAAUUGUCAGAGCAGUCCCUGGGGAAGAGACGAGGCCUGAUGUCUGAACAGAGGGUGAGCCCGUCAUCCUGCUGGGGACGACAGAGGCCAUGGAAGGGAAUGAGAGUGAAAAUCUGGAGGCAGACUCCAGAUGUGACAUCUCCAUGGGGCGGGAUGGUCCAGAUAUCUGGGGCCUGUGCAGGUCACGCUCCAUCACAGUCCACAGUCCACAGUCCACAGUCUAUCCUGGCAGGGCAGUCCCUCCUAGGAGGGCAUGCUGUCUUGCAGAGGUGCCAGGCAAGGGCAGUCCUCACCCAGUGAGUCACGGACAUUAAGGGCUCUGGGCUCCAACAGAGGGGAGGUCUGAGUGGGCUGAGCUGCUCCCAGAAGGCUUCUGAAAGGCAAAUGUGCUAGGCAGGGAAGGCUGUUUUCUGACAGGCAGAGGGGAGACUAGGACUCUGUGGGGUGGAGUGGUGUGGCUGCAUCAGCUCAGGUUCCUUGAGAACGUGUCCACAAAACUGGAAUUCCAUGGUGGCCCUGUUGAGGAGCCCCGUCCCUGAGGAAUGACAGAGACCUCUUCAGGGAGCAGCAAAUUCCAGAAAAGCAGGGAAAUUGGAAUCAUGUUUACAAAGCAUUCCCUUGGCAAGAGGCUGUCUAUAGGAUCCAGAUGGUCUGACCCCAAGUCAGAUGUCCUUUAUAACCUUGCUUUUAUGGUCCUCUGACCAGCAGCAUUAACAUCACCCUCACCUGGGAGCUCAUUAGGAAUGCAGAAUCUCGGGCCUCAUCCCUGAUCCACUGAAUUGGAAUCUGCAUCUUAACAAGAUCCUCAGGCAAUCUGUAAGCAUAUGCAUGGUUGAGAAGCACUGCUGUACAACACUUUGUAACAAUCUCUCUUGUCCAAGAGCGGGGACGAAGCUAGCUGUGAAAGCUAACACAGGUCUCAGGUGUUCUUCUUCCUGCAAGUGAGGGUUGGACAGCCCAAGCCAUGCUUCGCCUGGGCCCUGAGGAGGCCUCACCCCCCACUCCCCAUGGCAGCAACAUUCUCCUUGAGCCUUCCUUGGUGGUCCGAUGUCAGCAUCUUGCCAAUCCAGGCGAAGGCAUCAUGCCACACUGACAGAUGGCCCAAAGUAGGACAGACAGAAGAAAUGUAUGUUUAUCAAAUUUGGGUUGAAAAGACCACGUUCCCCCAGCAUAGGCUGUCAAACAGCUGUCAUUCAGGAGCAUAUGGCCCAGCGGUGAGAGGGCACAGACACAGCUAAUCCCACUCUUAGAGAGAUUAGCUCUGACGAGUGAAGAAAGUUGCGGCUGUCGCCAGGGUGCUGCCUGGGAGGAGAGGGUGGAGGGUCUGCAUUGUGGUUCAUUUCCCGAAUCACCUUCCCUGUGAUCGAGGCUCCUGUCUGCCAAAAAGAAGCCAGAAUGAAAUGA